GAGUUUGAUCCUGGCUCAGGAUGAACGCUAGCGACAGGCUUAACACAUGCAAGUCGAGGGGCAGCGGGGGCGAAGCUUGCUUCGCCUGCCGGCGACCGGCGCACGGGUGAGUAACACGUAUGCGACCUGCCCCCCGCAGGGGGAUAACCGGGAGAAAUCCCGACUAAUACCGCGUAACGCCGCGGGGCUGCAUGGCCCCGCGGCCAAAGGAAGCGAUUCCGGCGGGGGAUGGGCAUGCGGCGCAUUAGCUAGUCGGCGGGGUAACGGCCCACCGAGGCGACGAUGCGUAGGGGUUCUGAGAGGAAGGUCCCCCACACUGGUACUGAGACACGGACCAGACUCCUACGGGAGGCAGCAGUGAGGAAUAUUGGUCAAUGGGCGGGAGCCUGAACCAGCCAAGUCGCGUGAGGGAAGACGGUCCUACGGAUUGUAAACCUCUUUUGCCGGGGAGCAACGGGGUCCUUGCGAGGGCCCAAUGAGAGUACCCGGAGAAAAAGCAUCGGCUAACUCCGUGCCAGCGGCCGCGGUAAUACGGAGGAUGCGAGCGUUAUCCGGAUUUAUUGGGUUUAAAGGGUGCGUAGGCGGGCUGUUAAGUCAGCGGUCAAAUGUCGGGGCUCAACCCCGGCCUGCCGUUGAAACUGGCGGCCUCGAGUGGGCGAGAAGUAUGCGGAAUGCGUGGUGUAGCGGUGAAAUGCAUAGAUAUCACGCAGAACUCCGAUUGCGAAGGCAGCAUACCGGCGCCCUACUGACGCUGAGGCACGAAAGCGUGGGUAUCGAACAGGAUUAGAUACCCUGGUAGUCCACGCAGUAAACGAUGAAUGCUAGCUGUCCGGUUCUACGGGACUGGGUGGCACAGCGAAAGCGUUAAGCAUUCCACCUGGGGAGUACGCCGGCAACGGUGAAACUCAAAGGAAUUGACGG
rnacentral:rRNA from 1 species